AAGAAAAAAAAUGCAAGUAUUGGCUUUCGUUGGUAUCCGCAGCCGCCUCCUCAACUCUCUUCGUAUCUUCCUUGCUAGAGUUUUAUACAAAUCUAAAGAGAUCCGAAAACUGUUUCGAGAAAAAUUUCUAGCAACAAAGAUCUUGAGCCCUGUUAAUACUCUCAAGCAUUCAGUUUCGAGGGCAACAAGAAUAAGGUGACACAAUGCAGCUUAUGGUGGUCGUAGCAACAGAGGACAGCAUAUUGAACUUCGGUGGACCGGACAUUAGACUCACGUAUUCUCUUACAUUCACAGGACAUGAUGUGUAUACAUACAAUGGGUAGCAGUGACAGCGGCUUAUGGCGAGUUGGGAAAUCCUAUCUCCAAGGGAAUGUAGAGACGAGUGACUUUGUGUGGAGGAGAUUGCGAUCGUGUAAAUUGCAGUCCGCUGUUGGUUUCAUGAAAAAAGAAGUGAGGAAUUGUGUCUGGCCAUUGACUCGAUUCAGAAGUCUCUGCUAUGGUUGACUCAAUUGGGUGUGAUUAGAUUAAUUAAAUUAAAAAAAAAAAUUACUGCAGCUGGGGCCCAUUUUUUAUAACCCUCUCAACGUCUCUCAUCGCGCUCCUCCUCUCAUCUGGGUCCCAUCCUACUAUAAACCCCUCUCCUCUCAAACCCCAACGUCCUCUCGCUCGCUCCUCUCAAACCCUAACGUCAAAUCCGUAUCUCUCUCUCAAUCUCUCUCUCUCUCUCGCCGCCGGUACUACUGAGAGAUGGAUCGUGAAAUUUCUCUGCUCUUUGAGACUUAUGCCAAGUCUUUGGCGACGAACGAGUUUGAGACUUGCGAGAAGGUGAUAUCCCAACUUCAGCUUUAUGUGGCUGAAGGGAGGAGGAGUGGUGUUCAACCAGUAGUAGCUUAACUCGAUUUUGAUGGUGAUGUGGCUCAAGGGACUAAUGAAGCAGCUGGCAGUAAUCAUGUUGUCGGAGAAGAUGAAAAUGAAGACUUGGAGCAACAGCCUUCGCUGAACUAUGUUCAAAAGCCCUGUGGUUUCCCGAAAAAGUCAGCUGGCAUUCUCUCAGUACCUGAACUGGACAAUGGUUCUCAUCCUGAAGAAGAAAGUCCUCUCUGCUUUGACAAACUCGCUAUUCCGAGUAAUAUUGCUGAUUUGGAGGUUAAUCCGAGUGAACUUCAGGGUUUCGAGUUUUUUUGGUGAGCAACAAAAUUUCCAUGAUGAUGACGAGGAGAUGAUAGAAGUUGAUGGAGAUGGAGUCGGAGAAGAUGAGAAUGAAAAUGAAGAUGAGAAUGAAGAUGAAGAUGAGAAUGAAGAUGAAGAUGAGAAUGAAGAUGCAGAUGAGGACUUGCCACCUCGUAGGAGGUUGAUCAGGCCUACCCAAAGGUUUCUUGAAGGUAUUCAAACUUCACUCUAUUCAUCAGAAGAUUGAACUGGAGAUGAAGACUACGAAGACCAUUUUUUUUCUUUUUCAUUGUUCUUGUGUAAGAUUUUUUUUUUUUACUUUUAAAGUUUGAAAAAGUUUUGGAGUUUCUCGUUCUAACUACACACGUGUGAAUUCUUAUCACACGUGGAAGACUCCCCGUAUUCAGACUCUCCCCACUUUCUCUCUCGUUCUAACUACUCAGUUUUGCUUGCUUCUCUGUUCUGCUCCAUGUUCUGUUUUCUUAUUGAUUCCCAGUUUGGUUUUCUUCUGA